rnacentral:rRNA from 1 species
CGGCGAGUGAAGCGGCAACAGCUCAAAUUUGAAAUCUGGAGCCUUCGGCUUCCGAGUUGUAAUUUGAAGAGGAUGUUUCGGUGCGACCUGGGCCUAAGUUCCUUGGAACAGGACGUCAUGGAGGGUGAGAAUCCCGUACAUGGCUGCAGGUUUGCUUCUAUGUGAAACUCCUUCGAAGAGUCGAGUUGUUUGGGAAUGCAGCUCAAAAUGGGUGGUAAAUUUCAUCUAAAGCUAAAUAUUGGCGGGAGACCGAUAGCGCACAAGUAGAGUGAUCGAAAGAUGAAAAGCACUUUGAAAAGAGAGUUAAACAGUACGUGAAAUUGUUGAAAGGGAAGCGCUUGCAAUCAGACUCGCCUUCAGUUGAUCAGCCUUCCUUCUGGUUGGUGCACUCUGCUGUUGGCGGGCCAGCAUCAGUUGGGGCGGUGGGAUAAAGGCGGCAGGAAUGUGGCUCGCUUCGGUGAGUGUUAUAGCCUGCUGUGUCAUGCCACCAGUCCCGACUGAGGUCCGCGGUUCGCCUAGGAUGCUGGCUUAAUGGUUGUAAGCGACCCGUCUUGAAACACGGACCAAGGAGUCUAACAUCUAUGCGAGUCUUUGGGUGUAAAACCCAUGGGCGAAAUGAAAGUGAACGGAGGUGGGAGUCCUCGGAUGCACCAUCGACCGAUCCUGAUGUUCUCGGAUGGAUUUGAGUAUGAGCAUAGCUGUUGGGACCCGAAAGAUGGUGAACUAUGCCUGAAUAGGGUGAAGCCAGAGGAAACUCUGGUGGAGGCUCGCAGCGGUUCUGACGUGCAAAUCGAUCGUCAAAUUUGGGUAUAGGGGCGAAAGACUAAUCGAACUAGUAGCUGGUUCCUGCCGAAGUUUCCCUCAGGAUAGCAGUAACGUUUUCAGUUUUAUGAGGUAAAGCGAAUGAUUAGAGGCCUUGGGGUUGAAACAACCUUAACCUAUUCUCAAACUUUAAAUAUGUAAGAAGUCCUUGUUACUUAAUUGAACGUGGACAUUUGAAUGUAUCGUUACUAGUGGGCCAUUUUUGGUAAGCAGAACUGGCGAUGCGGGAUGAACCGAACGCGGGGUUAAGGUGCCGGAAUGUACGCUCAUCAGACACCACAAAAGGUGUUGAUUCAUCUAGACAGCAGGACGGUGGCCAUGGAAGUCGGAAUCCGCUAAGGAGUGU